rnacentral:rRNA from 1 species
GUCGAACGCUGAAGGCCCAGCUUGCUGGGUUGGAUGAGUGGCGAACGGGUGAGUAACACGUGAGUAACCUGCCCCCUUCUUUGGGAUAACGGUCGGAAACGGCUGCUAAUACCGGGUAUUCACUGUCCUUCGCAUGGGGGGUGGUGGAAAGGUUUUUUCUGGUGGGGGAUGGGCUCGCGGCCUAUCAGCUUGUUGGUGGGGUGAUGGCUUACCAAGGCUUUGACGGGUAACCGGCCUGAGAGGGUGACCGGUCACAUUGGGACUGAGAUACGGCCCAGACUCCUACGGGAGGCAGCAGUGGGGAAUAUUGCACAAUGGGCGAAAGCCUGAUGCAGCGACGCCGCGUGAGGGAUGACGGCCUUCGGGUUGUAAACCUCUUUCGCUCAUGGUCAAGCCGCAACAAUGGUUGUGGUGAGGGUAGUGGGUAAAGAAGCACCGGCUAACUACGUGCCAGCAGCCGCGGUAAUACGUAGGGUGCGAGCGUUGUCCGGAAUUAUUGGGCGUAAAGGGCUUGUAGGCGGUUUGUCGCGUCUGCCGUGAAAUCCUCUGGCUUAACUGGGGGCGUGCGGUG